GGCGCUUCGCUUGGCAAUGGCGACAUGGCGACCAAGGCCUCGUUUCAUAAAGCGACGUUUUUAGGGCCUUGAUGGUGACGAUCUGCAGCAGACACCGUGAGGUGCUAGGUGGAAUCGGAGCGUGAGUGCGUGGCAUAAAGAUGCACGAACUGAGCAAUUUAGGUUUUGGUUUGUAAUUUAGUGUUACGGAUGCGGAGUCGUCUGCCCCGUGCCCGAUGUCUUCGAUGCUUGGUUUGAAGAGAAGAGGGCUUGUCGAUGGAAUAACCUUCAAGACGUAUGUACUACAAAGCCUAGUCAGAGUUCAGCACGCGGUAACGGCCGCUCUGAGCUCCACCCGCGACCUCGUGGUGACCCGGCGGCCGCUGCAGCAGCCCGCGCCGCUGCAGAAUGAGGACAGCCGAGGACCUCGCCGCAGGAGCCGAGGUACAGUUGGAGAUGAAUGUUACCAGCACUAUCCCGGGCGUGGAUCCUACGCGGCUCCGGCGCCUCUCACCAUCGCUCUCCGCAGCGUGUGACACGCUCUCACCCCACCGCUCUCAAUAGCAUGACCCCCACUCAGAGCACCGCUGAGUGGCGAAUGUCGACAUUGGAUGACAAUACUGUCCAGAAACCUCCGAGCAAAACUCAGAUCAGGAGGACCGAGAGAUGAUCUCUUCAAUGGUCGAAGCACCGCGAUUUCGAUAUGGGGUCUCACGUCUGACGAGAAUCGUGCGAACAAGCCUUCACAAGCUGGUUGGGUAAGGCCGGAGUGGAAUGUAAACGCCUCUCUGAGGAGAUAAAUCGUCAUUGACCGACCAGCCAGCCGAAUGUUGGUCGUUCCGCUCGCUAUAUCGCAGUUUCUACGGCGGGAGUCGGAGUUUAAGCGUCAUCCAACAGCUAAAUAUGAUGACGUCAACUGACAGGCUCGGCUGUGGAUGGAUUUAUGACAGCGGUUGCGCAAUCACGUCGAAAUCAAAGUAUUGCGUGUGCUAAUUGAAGUGGGUUUGUGCAAUAUGGCAUGAAUCGAAUUAAAGAUACAUAUAAAUGCCCAUCUU